rnacentral:piRNA from 1 species
UAUUAACUUUUUUUGAUUCAC